AGGGGGUGCAAGCGUUAAUCGGAAUUACUGGGCGUAAAGCGCGCGUAGGUGGUUUGUUAAGUUGGAUGUGAAAUCCCCGGGCUCAACCUGGGAACUGCAUCCAAAACUGGCAAGCUAGAGUAUGGUAGAGGGUGGUGGAAUUUCCUGUGUAGCGGUGAAAUGCGUAGAUAUAGGAAGGAACACCAGUGGCGAAGGCGACCACCUGGACUGAUACUGACACUGAGGUGCGAAAGCGUGGGGAGCAAACAGGGAUUAGAUACCCUGGUAGUCCACGCCGUAAACGAUGUCAACUAGCCCGUUGGGAGCCUUGAGCUCUUAGUGGCGCAGCUAACGCAUUAAGUUGACCGCCUGGGGAGUACGGCCGCAAGGUUA
rnacentral:rRNA from 1 species